AGCUGAUCGUCCUUGGCAAAAUGUUUAGAUUCGUUGGAGGUAGUCUGGGAGCGGCAGUUAAUUCCGAAUCCAUCGUCUACCAGCGAACGUUGUUUUUGGAUUUGUGUGUCCGUCCGUGUUAGUUCCUUAUUUAUAGUUCAUAUCAAGCAGUGUAUUCAAUCGGUCUAGCUGGUUGAUCUGUUUGGAGGAUGGAAUCUUGACUGAACGAAUUUUCACCGCUUAUUUUUCAAGUGGAUAGGUAAAUAGAGAAGAUAGAAGGGAUUGAUUGUUUGUCGUUGGACUA